ACGCUCGACACCACGGAGGCAGCAGUAGGGAAUCUUCCACAAUGGGCGCAAGCCUGAUGGAGCAACACCGCGUGAGUGAAGAAGGGUUUCGGCUCGUAAAGCUCUGUUGUUGGAGAAGAACGUGCGUGAGAGUAACUGUUCACGCAGUGACGGUAUCCAACCAGAAAGUCACGGCUAACUACGUGUCAGCAGCCGCGGUAAUCUGAGCGGGCUGGCAAGGC
rnacentral:rRNA from 1 species